rnacentral:rRNA from 2 species
AGGAGUGGAGCCUGCGGCUUAAUUUGACUCAACACGGGAAACCUCACCAGGCCCGGACACCGGAAGGAUUGACAGAUUGAGAGCUCUUUCUUGAUUCGGUGGGUGGUGGUGCAUGGCCGUUCUUAGUUGGUGGAGCGAUUUGUCUGGUUAAUUCCGAUAACGAACGAGACUCUAGCCUGUUAACUAGGCGUAUUUCCGACAUCUCAAAGGCCCGCCGGCCCGGCGCGCGUCGCGGCCGCGCGCGGUUUUUACUGUCGGCGUACAAAUUAUUCUUCUUAGAGGGACAGGCGGCUUCUAGCCGCACGAGAUUGAGCAAUAACAGGUCUGUGAUGCCCUUAGAUGUUCUGGGCCG